rnacentral:lncRNA from 1 species
CAAUCGUUCAUAAAGAUAAAGCUUGAGAAAUUGUUCCUUUUCUAAAAUGGUACAGUUCAAAGUCUCUUCUCAUCAACCUUAUUUUUCAUAGUCCCAACUCUGUUCUGCAUUGGGCAGCUUGCACAUCAGUACGAUCUGCCAUUCAUCAUUCAGUAUUGAGCCUCUUGAGGAUCUUUUUUAUAACAAAAGUGUAUCAGUAUCUUUGUAAAUCCAAAAAUGGACAAUGGAAUUAGUUGCAGUGUCAAGGAUAGAAAGAGUUGACAGGAAAGAUUUUAGGAUAAAAUAUUGAAUCAUGUUUGAAGGACAUUUACGUUUUACCUUUUAUCCUUUUAUAAAGGGAAGAGAUUUUAUGAAACACAGCACUAAGCUAAGUAACAGGAAUACAAGACAGUAUUGAGCUAAAAUCUUAUACUGAUAUGACAAUUCCACGUACAAAUAUAAAAAUGUAAUCUAUUGCUCUGUAAAGAUAGUUGGGUGGGAAAUUAAAUAAGCUGUGAUAGCAAUGCUUAAAACUAACAUCCCCAGGUUUUAAGAGAUUUUAAGAGUUUGAUAAUAAUUGCUUUUUAAAAAAUCUUAAAUCUAUGGGAAUUUUCACUGCUAAAGUGAAUCUUAAAAAUAACCUUUUCUAUUUAAUAUAUAAAUGCAGGUGCUGUAGACACGGCUGACAACGUGUGUACUCAGAGACACAGACUGCUCUUUUAAGUCAGACCCAGAGCUCAACAGGGCCAUUGUGAAACUGCAGGUGAAAUCCGUUCCCGGCCUUCUACAUCAGUCCCCAGUGACCCUCAGCCUCAAACCACCACGUAGGAUGUUCUGUUCGAGGCACUUAUACGCUCAUGGGCCUCAUGAAUUAUCACCGACAAGAAAUACAUUUAUUUCCAUGUGAAUUCCAUCAUUAACAGUGCUAUAAAUAAUGGUAAGCCAGAGGAAAAAUUUUUAAUUGGAAGCACAUGGGCAAGGAUUUUAAGUUUCCUUCUAUUUCAUCAGGGUGAUUUUAUUUCCAUGGGCAUUCAUUAUCGUACCUGACAACUGAUGGCUUUAUAGGUGAUUUUAUUGGAGGUUUUAGAGAAGACUUAAACAGGCAGAGAUUAGCAAAGUAACAAGUGACGUUGUCAAGCAGGGAGGUGGUCAUCACUGCGUAGGCAGAGAAAGGGGAGGAAAGGUGAAGAGUCUACCACUCAUCAUUUUUUUUCACACGGAAGCAAUGUGAAGGUUGAUAAGAUGGAAAAAUGGCAUUAGACAGAGUUAAUGAGAAUAGCUAAUAGAAAAAGUGGUUCUACAAUUGAAACAUACCUCGAAAUUUCACACAACAAAGUGGUAACCAGGUCACAUUGCCGAGAGCACUGAGCUAUGUGAAACUAAAGCAGAAAAGCAAAAAGUCCCACUGCCAAAUUUACUUUCAGGCCUCUGCUGAAUGGCCAUCUUUCAGCCCAGAGCCAGGAAUUGAUUCUCUGGCAUCUCUUUUCUCAAUAUUUUGAAUUUGGAUGUAUCAAUUUGUG